rnacentral:rRNA from 1 species
AUGGAUAAAGCAUUUUCGAUUUUUGAAAGUUAUGCAUCUAUGAAGCCUUUUGAGCGAUUGUGGAGUUUGAAAGACUUGCAAACUCUGGAUUCAGUUCGUGCUAGUAAAGUUUUCAUUGCUAAACUUGGAAAUUUAUCUCAACUGAUGUCCCUUUGCAUCACUGGGGUAAGGAGCAUCUACUGUGCACAGUUGUGUGACUCUUUAUCAAAGAUGCACCAGCUCUCAACAUUAGAAAUAAUAGGCAGCAAUGAAGAUGAGGUGUUGGAGCUUGAAGCUUUAACAUUGUCAAAUCGUCUUAAAGAGCUCAGUUUCUCAGGGCGUAUUUCCGAAGGAACUUUAAAAUCCUUAUUUUUCUCAACCAACGGGGGUGCACUUCACAAUAUAUCUCUAUUUUGGUCAUAG